AUUGAACGCUGGCGGCAUGCCUUACACAUGCAAGUCGAACGGCAGCACGGGAGCAAUCCUGGUGGCGAGUGGCGAACGGGUGAGUAAUAUAUCGGAACGUGCCCAGUCGUGGGGAUAACGUAGCGAAAGCUACGCUAAUACCGCAUACGAUCUAUGGAUGAAAGCGGGGGAUCGCAAGACCUCGCGCGAUUGGAGCGGCCGAUAUCAGAUUAGGUAGUUGGUGAGGUAAAGGCUCACCAAGCCGACGAUCCGUAGCUGGUCUGAGAGGACGACCAGCCACACUGGGACUGAGACACGGCCCAGACUCCUACGGGAGGCAGCAGUUGAGGAAUAUUGGACAAA
rnacentral:rRNA from 1 species